rnacentral:rRNA from 1 species
UACAGAGGUCCCGAGCGUUGUUCGGAUUCACUGGGCGUAAAGGGUGCGUAGGUGGUGAGGUAAGUCGGAUGUGAAAUCUCCAAGCUCAACUUGGAAAUGGCAUUGGAAACUACCUUGCUGGAGGUUUGGAGGGGGGACUGGAAUUCUCGGUGUAGCAGUGAAAUGCGUAGAUAUCGAGAGGAACACCAGUGGCGAAGGCGGCAUCCUGGACCGACACUGACACUGAGGAGCGAAAGCCAGGGGAGCAAACGGG